rnacentral:rRNA from 1 species
GGGCCCGCACAAGCGGCGGAGCAUGCGGAUUAAUUCGAUGCAACGCGAAGAACCUUACCUGGGUUUGACAUAGGAAGAAAUCCUCCAGAGAUGGGGGGUCCGUAAGGGUUUCCUACAGGUGGUGCAUGGCUGUCGUCAGCUCGUGUCGUGAGAUGUUGGGUUAAGUCCCGCAACGAGCGCAACCCUUGUCUUAUGUUGCCAGCACGCCCUUCGGGGUGGUGGGGACUCAUGAGAGACUGCCGGGGUCAACUCGGAGGAAGGUGGGGAUGACGUCAAGUCAUCAUGCCCCUUAUGUCCAGGGCUUCACGCAUGCUACAAUGGCCGGUACAGACCGCUGCGAUCCCGUGAGGGGGAGCGAAUCGGAAAAAGCCGGUCUCAGUUCGGAUUGGGGUCUGCAACUCGACCCCAUGAAGUCGGAGUCGCUAGUAAUCGCAGAUCAGCAACGCUGCGGUGAAUACGUUCCCGGGCCUU